CCUACGGGUGGCAGCAGUGAGGAAUAUUGGUCAAUGGACGAGAGUCUGAACCAGCCAAGUAGCGUGAAGGAUGACUGCCCUAUGGGUUGUAAACUUCUUUUAUAUGGGAAUAAAAUGUUCCACGUGUGGGAUUUUGUAUGUACCAUAUGAAUAAGGAUCGGCUAACUCCGUGCCAGCAGCCGCGGUAAUACGGAGGAUCCGAGCGUUAUCCGGUUUUAUUGGGUUUAAAGGGAGCGUAGGUGGAUUGUUAAGUCAGUGGUGAAAGUUUGCGGCUCAACCGGAAAAUUGCAGUUGAUACUGGCAGUCUUGAGUACAGUAGAGGUGGGCGGAAUUCGUGGUGUAGCGGUGAAAUGCUUAGAUAUCACGAAGAACUCCGAUUGCGAAGGCAGUUCACUGGACUGCAACUGACACUGAGGCUCGAAAGUGUGGGUAUCAAACAGGAUUAGAUACCCGAGUAGUC
rnacentral:rRNA from 1 species